UGGGGAAUAUUGCACAAUGGGCGAAAGCCUGAUGCAGCGACGCCGCGUGAGGGAUGACGGCCUUCGGGUUGUAAACCUCUUUCAGCAGGGAAGAAGCGAAAGUGACGGUACCUGCAGAAGAAGCGCCGGCUAACUACGUGCCAGCAGCCGCGGUAAUACGUAGGGCGCAAGCGUUGUCCGGAAUUAUUGGGCGUAAAGAGCUCGUAGGCGGUUAGUCGCGUCUGCUGUGAAAACUCGAGGCUCAACCUCGGGCUUGCAGUGGGUACGGGCUGACUAGAGUGCGGUAGGGGUGACUGGAAUUCCUGGUGUAGCGGUGGAAUGCGCAGAUAUCAGGAGGAACACCGAUGGCGAAGGCAGGUCACUGGGCCGCAACUGACGCUGAGGAGCGAAAGCAUGGGGAGCGAACAGGAUUAGAUACCCUGGUAGUCCAUGCCGUAAACGUUGGGCACUAGGUGUGGGGUCCAUUUCCACGGAUUCCGUGCCGCAGCAAACGCAUUAAGUGCCCCGCCUGGGGAGUACGGCCGCAAGGCUAAAACUUAAAUGAAUUGACGGGGUCAUAG
rnacentral:rRNA from 1 species